CACCAAAAUUAUCUAAUUUUUCCAAUGUAAAAUUUUCAGAAUUUUAAUUCCAAUGGAAUUUUUGAGAAUCCUCUUUUUUAUUCUCUUUCAAAACAGAAACGUGGAGCAGAUAUCUUGAAUUUAAGUGAAAGCAUCUCCAAGCACUGUCUGAGGGAAUUACUUAGUGCUCACUCCUUGGACCAAGCGCUUCACGCCGAAUUACUAGCAUCACUCCAAACUUCUCUGUGUGGUGGUUUGCCAUCUGAGAAACAUUAAAAACAGCUGUGGAUGUUAAAGAUGCUCCCUGCUCCCCACAACAACAGUGUUUCAUGGCAUCAGAGUUAAUAGCUGUGGAAGGACUGAGCACAACUGACUGAGGCUAUGAAAUGUCACUACAUUUGCAUUGGAUGGUCUUCUGUCCUGUGCCAGCAGGGAAGAAAGGUAACAGCACUUUAGAUUAACAGUCUCUGAUGUGCAUAUAAUUAGGAUUAAGUUUGCACUUUGUGUGAUAAAUAAG
rnacentral:lncRNA from 1 species